rnacentral:rRNA from 1 species
CGGUCCAGUUUACUGGAUAGUGGCGCACGGGUGAGUAACACGUAGUUAGUUGACCUAAAGCCUGGGAUAGCCUCAAGAAAUUGAGGGUAAUACCGGAUGUGACCUAAGGGUUAAAGUGGCAACACACUUUAGGAGACGACUGCGGCCCAUCAGGUAGUUGGUAGGGUAAUGGCCUACCAAGCCUAUGACGGGUAGCCGGCCUGAGAGGGUGAUCGGCCACAUUGGGACUGAGACACGGCCCAGACUCC